CUCCGGUGGAUAGAGAUGGGCACGCGCAAGAUUAGAUAGUUGGCGGGGUAACGGCCCACCAAGUCAAUGAUCUUUAGGGGGCCUGAGAGGGUGAUCCCCCACACUGGUACUGAGACACGGACCAGACUCCUACGGGAGGCAGCAGUGAGGAAUAUUGGACAAUGGGUGAGAGCCUGAUCCAGCCAUCCCGCGUGAAGGACGACGGCCCUAUGGGUUGUAAACUUCUUUUGUAUAGGGAUAAACCUACYCUCGUGAGGGUAGCUGAAGGUACUAUACGAAUAAGCACCGGCUAACUCCGUGCCAGCAGCCGCGGUAAUACGGAGGGUGCAAGCGUUAUCCGGAUUUAUUGGGUUUAAAGGGUCCGUAGGCGGACUCGUAAGUCAGUGGUGAAAUCUCAUAGCUUAACUAUGAAACUGCCAUUGAUACUGCGGGUCUUGAGUAAGGUAGAGGUAGCUGGAAUAAGUAGUGUAGCGGUGAAAUGCAUAGAUAUUACUUAGAACACCAAUUGCGAAGGCAGGUUACCAUGUCUUAACUGACGCUGAUGGACGAAAGCGUGGGGAGCGAACAGGAUUAGAUACCCUGGUAGUCCACGCCGUAAACGAUGCUAACUCGUUUUUGGGUUUUCGGAUUCAGAGACUAAGCGAAAGUGAUAAGUUAGCCACCUGGGGAGUACGUUCGCAAGAAUGAAACUCAAAGGAAUUGACGGGGGCCCGCACAAGCGGUGGAUUAUGUGGUUUAAUUCGAUGAUACGCGAGGAACCUUACCAAGGCUUAAAUGGGAAAUGACAGGUUUAGAAAUAGACUUUUCUUCGGACAAUUUUCAAGGUGCUGCAUGGUUGUCGUCAGCUCGUGCCGUGAGGUGUUAGGUUAAGUCCUGCAACGAGCGCAACCCCUGUCACUAGUUGCCAUCAUUCAGUUGGGGACUCUAGUGAGACUGCCUACGCAAGUAGAGAGGAAGGUGGGGAUGACGUCAAAUCAUCACGGCCCUUACGCCUUGGGCCACACACGUAAUACAAUGGCCAGUACAGAGGGCAGCUACCAGGUGACUGGAUGCGAAUCUCGAAAGCUGGUCUCAGUUCGGAUUGGAGUCUGCAACUCGACUCUAUGAAGCUGGAAUCGCUAGUAAUCGCGCAUCAGCCAUGGCGCGGUGAAUACGUUCCCGGGCCUUGUACACACCGCCCGUCAAGCCAUGGAAGUCUGGGGUACCUGAAGUCGGUGACCGUAAUAGGCUGCCUAGGG
rnacentral:rRNA from 1 species